rnacentral:rRNA from 1 species
CCUACGGGUGGCAGCAGUGGGGAAUAUUGGACAAUGGGCGAAAGCCUGAUCCAGCCAUGCCGCGUGUGUGAAGAAGGCCUUCGGGUUGUAAAGCACUUUCAGUGGGGAAGAAAGCCUUGGGGCUAAUACCCUCGAGGAAGGACAUCACCCACAGAAGAAGCACCGGCUAACUCCGUGCCAGCAGCCGCGGUAAUACGGAGGGUGCGGGCGUUAAUCGGAAUUACUGGGCGUAAAGCGCGCGUAGGCGGUCUGAUAAGCCGGUUGUGAAAGCCCCGGGCUCAACCUGGGAACGGCAUCCGGAACUGUCAGGCUAGAGUGCAGGAGAGGAAGGUAGACUUCCCGGUGUAGCGGUGAAAUGCGUAGAGAUCGGGAGGAAUACCAGUGGCGAAGGCGGCCUUCUGGACUGACACUGACGCUGAGGUGCGAAAGCGUGGGUAGCAAACAGGAUUAGAUACCCCAGUAGUC